CCUACGGGUGGCAGCAGUGGGGAAUAUUGCACAAUGGGCGCAACCCUGAUGCAGCAACGCCGCGUGGAGGAUGAAGGCUUUCGGAUUGUAAACUACUUUUGUUAGAGAAGAUAGUGAUAGAGUCUAUAGCAUUACCCACGGAUAACCCCGUGCCAGCAGCCGCGGUCAUACGCCGGGUGAACGCGGUACUCGGAAUCACUGGUCGUAAAGAGCGUGUAGGCGAGAUAGCAAGUCAGAUGUGAAAUCCUAUGGCUUAACCAGAGAACUGCAUUUGAUACUGGCAUUCUAGAGUAUGGGAGAGGGGGGUGGAAUUCUAGGUGUAGGGGUGAAAUGCGUAGAGAUCUGGAGGAAUA
rnacentral:rRNA from 1 species